CCUACAUGAAGCUGGAAUUGCUAGUAAUCACAGGUCAGCAUACUGUGGUGAAUACGUUCCCGGGCCUUGUACACACCGCCGUCACACCAUGAGAGUUGAGAAUACCCGAAGCCCAUGUCAAAGUGGUCGAAGGUAGGCUUGAUGAUUGGGGUGAAGUCGUAACAAGGUAAC
rnacentral:rRNA from 1 species